GUGGCCUUAGGGCCUGAAUAAAUAGGGGUUCACAAUUACAAUUUAAGCACAAACAUUUGGGGGUGUUACAUUCCCCCACCUUAGAAAAUUUGGUCCCCCAAAUUUUUCUUGAAUAAGUCUAGGAACUUCUCUCUCAUCUCACUAUCCAACUCCCACGUCGCCUCUUCUAGAGUGUGGUCCUGCCACUGCACUUUCACCAUGGGGAU
rnacentral:lncRNA from 1 species